rnacentral:rRNA from 1 species
UACAGAGGUGGCAAGCGUUGUUCGGAAUUACUGGGCGUAAAGGGCGCGUAGGCGGCCAUCUAAGUCAGACGUGAAAUCCCCCGGCUUAACCUGGGAACUGCGUCUGAUACUGGAAGGCUUGAGUAUGGGAGAGGGAUGUAGAAUUCCAGGUGUAGCGGUGAAAUGCGUAGAUAUCUGGAGGAAUACCGGUGGCGAAGGCGACAUCCUGGACCGGUAUUGACGCUGAGGCGCGAAAGCCAGGGGAGCAAACGGG